rnacentral:rRNA from 1 species
CCUACGGGCGGCAGCAGUGGGGAAUAUUGGACAAUGGGGGCAACCCUGAUCCAGCCAUGCCGCGUGUGUGAAGAAGGCCCUCGGGUUGUAAAGCACUUUCAGUGAGGAAGAACGCCUGGUGGUUAAUACCCAUCAGGAAAGACAUCACUCACAGAAGAAGCACCGGCUAACUCCGUGCCAGCAGCCGCGGUAAUACGGAGGGUGCGAGCGUUAAUCGGAAUUACUGGGCGUAAAGCGCGCGUAGGUGGCUUGAUAAGCCGGUUGUGAAAGCCCCGGGCUCAACCUGGGAACGGCAUCCGGAACUGUCAAGCUAGAGUGCAGGAGAGGAAGGUAGAAUUCCCGGUGUAGCGGUGAAAUGCGUAGAGAUCGGGAGGAAUACCAGUGGCGAAGGCGGCCUUCUGGACUGACACUGACACUGAGGUGCGAAAGCGUGGGUAGCAAACAGGAUUAGAUACCCUGGUAGUC